ensembl:lncRNA
CGAGGAAUUUGAGGAAUGAAGGCAUGCUGUUGUGAAUCAGUUCAGGUAAAUCUCAAAACUUUUCCGGACAGCCGGGAUGCUGUCUCUGUCACUCUAUCUCAGACAACAAUCAUAAAUAGAAGGGCUCAUGACCAUGGUAUGUCACGGUUCUGGGUCCGUUGGACCCAGCAAUUGAGUUUAUUAUGUUUUGGUUUACUUUUGCAUCAUGGAUUAUUCUUUAUGUUUCUCUGGUACUUUGUGUUUCAGUUAUCUUGGUGUUUUGGAUUGUUUUCUCAUUCUCUUGUUGUGAUGAUGAUGUUUAUUAUUAGAGUUUCAUGUUUCUGUUUAUCCAUGUUUUAGGAAUUGUGGUUUCAUGUAUUAUUUUCUGUCCGUGUCUUUUAGUAGUGUUUCAUGUUUCCUGUUUUAUUGUGAAAGUCUUUGUCUUAGGUUAGUGUGUGCAGCUUUGUUCCCCCUGUCUCGUUAGCCCUGAUCUCUCCCUCCUGUUGCCUAUUCCCUCUUUACUACCCUGUGUAUAUAAGCCCUGUGUUUUCCCAUGCUCGGUGUUGCGUUGUACCAUCAGAUUGUGCCUGUGUGUUUCUAGUCUCCGUAUUCAGUGUUCACGUCAUGCUUUAUUUUCAUACCAGCAAUAAAGCUGAGGUUUUUGAGUUUCAAGUUAAUGUCUGAGUCCUGCGUUUGGAUCCUCCUCUCCGCCUGCCCGCAUACAGAGCCCUGAUAUGGUAAGUAAUAAAAUAGGGCUAUAUGUAUAGUAUAAACAAACCCCGACAGGACAUCAAGUAUUCUGUGUAAUGGCCCUGUGUUUGAUCCAUUUCUCCCGGACACUCAAUUUUCCUCAUCCUCCUUAAAAUGUGAAUUUCUUUAAAGGUUGUUUUUUUUUUUUUUUUUUUUUACUUCUCCCUUGCUGAAAACUUUCUGGCAAAAAGUCUCUUCCCCACUUCUUUGUAUACUGUCACGUGACCUGGAAAUCUGCAAAACCAGACUCAAUAAAGUGAUCCGCAAGGCCAGAAAUUAUAUGGGCAUGGAGUUGGACUCGCUUAAGGUGGUGUCAGAGAGCGGAUGUUGUCCAAGAUAAGGAGAAUGCUGGACAAUACCUCACACCCACUCCAUGACGUGCUGGCCAGACACAGGAAUACGUUCAGUGUGAGACUGAGAUUACCCAAAUGCACCACUGAACAACACAGGAAAUCAUUCCUGUCUGUGGCUAUCUCUGUACAACGCCUCCAUCUAAUACUCAGUGCAAUAGUUACACCCUUCUGCACAUGCUCUACAGUGAAAAUAAGAAAUAAAGUUUUAUAGUUCCCAGGUUAGAGUAAAAUGCCAAUCAUAUUUA